GUCUUUUUAAUUUUCUUCUUACCCUCAUCUCUUCUUUCUUUUUGUGCAUUCUAUUUAUUGUCAUCAUUUCAACUCUCUGCAACCCAUAUUACCAAUUUAAGAAAAAAAAAGAAUACUUCAAGAACUCAAGUCAAUUAUGCGACGGUCCGUGCAGCCACAGGAGAAAACCAGGCCGUUGCAUGGCAUCCAAGAACGAGGAUUAACCAUGGGAGCUACCGUGGGCCGAGGAAACACCUAGUGAAUCCCACCGUGAAACAAGAUGUUUACACAGUUCCUGAGUCUUCAGCUUGAAUGAAAGAAUUUACAAAGAAGAUCAGUUUCUAGCAGCAAGCAAUAAAAGAUGCUAUGUAUUUUCUUCAUGUUGAAGUAAAAAAAAAAACCAAAGUGGAUAAACAAAGUUUGUUUGAGUUUGAAAGUACUUUUGUCUCUCUUAUCAUUAAAAGGCUGACACUGAAGUUUACGUUAGUAGAACUCAAUGAAUAU